rnacentral:rRNA from 1 species
UACGAGGGGGGCAAGCGUUGUUCGGAAUUAUUGGGCGUAAAGGGUGCGUAGGCGGUCUGACAAGUCUGAUGUGAAGUCUAUGGGCUCAACCCAUAGUCUGCAUCGGAAACUGUCGGGCUUGAGUAUGGGAGAGGUGAGUGGAAUUUCCGGUGUAGCGGUGAAAUGCGUAGAUAUCGGAAGGAACACCUGUGGCGAAAGCGGCUCACUGGACCAUUACUGACGCUGAGGCACGAAAGCUAGGGGAGCAAACAGG